AAGAUUGCUAAUUUUAUAUAUUAAUAUAUGGAUAUCCGGGUGGAGACAGCGAGGAGGAGGGAGGGCACCCCUCGCAAUUUUA
rnacentral:tRNA from 2 species